rnacentral:sRNA from 1 species
GAGCUGCCGGCGGAGGUGCGAAGCCAUCGAGGUGAGUGGAAGCUUCUGGAACCUUACCCUCCUUUUUCCUUUCUAUCUCGCUGCGGUUGGCUUAAUUUGCCUCUGCGGGCGCGUCGCGGUUUUGCUUCUAGAACCUUCUAGUUCUUGUGGUGGUAUGAAGUUUCUCCGUGAGUGUCAAAUGUGGAUCCGCCAUUAGAGAUGGAUUUGAGUUCGCUGUGCUUUGUGACGAUAGGCUUGUUUCGGUGGAGAUUUCAUGGAUAGGUCGACGACGAGUUCAUAGAAGGAGGGGCUUUAUAUGCAUUAGAUGAACGGCUUCCAACAGUUUCCGUAGCAAGAAGCUUCUAUGGUUUAAUCUAAUUCUAGGAGGGCGGUAGGGGUGAUGUUUGUGUGCCGAAGUCUUGCUAACCUGGAUCAAUGGAAUGCGCUUGUUGUGCAAUGCAGUUGGAAACUGUGGAGUAGCCCGUGUGACAGUGUGAGUUAAUUACUUGGUUGCUUAUUUGAGGAUUAGGAUACACACAGGAGGUCAUGAGAUGUUGUUUGGUUAAACUGAACAUUUAAUUUGUAGUCUAUUAGGCUGAAAGGAAAAUAAAGAACCAUUCAGCCUAGUUGCAAGACUAGUUUUUCUUUGUAACGUUGGUGAAUUGUACUGUGUUUAAGCCAAACUAAGUUGUUAAAGGUUUAGACUGACGUCCCCUUAUGUGAUGUUUAUCUUUGUUGUUGUUGUCAUAUUUUGAAAAUUGUGCAUUCACCAUCUCUAAAAUAGCUCAUAGGGCAUUAACGAGUGAUUUCAAUCGAGGUGCCUUGUUUACAACUAUUGCUUUGCAUAUUCUGAUCAUUGCAAUGUUUUCAACCAGUUAUUGCAUAUGGUGGCACCAAGCAUGAGGUUACAACUGCAUUACUUGCAAGGGAAUCACAAGUCACAAGAAACACAUGUUAUUACAAUGGAUGUAAGAUUUUUUUAUUCCCAGUUUAUUUUCCCAUGAUUUUGCGACAGUGAAUAGUUUUAUUUUUUUUAAAUAAAAUGAACUUACAUGAUCAUUGAUGUUGUCUUUAACAACAACUCACCAAUGAACAACCAUACAUUGUCAUAUGUGAACUCUGGUUAAAGAGUAUCUUUUUGUAACUUAAGAUAAAUGGGCAUCUGUCCUGCAAAUGGAGAUGGAAAGUUUGCAUAGAAGUAACAGUGAUAUGCUAUUCUGCUUAUAAUCACCUUUCCAGAUAUAUGUUGUGCUGUACUAGCAGUCUAAUACAUACUAUAUGAUGUCUGUUGUUAAUAUUCAGAAAAUGACCCUGUUUUUUGCCACCAUAAGUUUCCAACUUUUCAGGCUAUCAUAUUUCAGUAUGCUGUGAUAGAUAAGUGAACCUCUUUGUGUGUAAAUGUUUCAUGGUCUGAUGGAUAAACAAGAUAAUUGUGUACAGAACCCAGCUUGCAGCAUAUCUGCAUUAAGCAGAUGUAGUUUUGCUGCAAGCAAAGCAUGGCUUAUUGCUAUACCAUUGCCUUUGUGAGUGGAAUGGUAUAUCUUCUAAAUUAAGGAAAAGAUGACUUUCUCCUUUUCUGGAGCUAUGUUGGGGUUGGCUCUGUUCAAGAUCAGAGGGAGUAUAUUCCUCCUCUCAAGAGCUCAAAACUUUUCUUGUGAAUAAGUUUCCAUGUUAAGGACUGCAUAGAGCCCCUUUUCCAUUGAUAGGUACACCCAAGGCAGCGGGCAGUCUCAUUAUAUAAAAUUAUGUUGGUAUGGUCAAAGCGCACCAUCAGCAGGUUGAACCUUCCUACUUAGUUCUUCAAUUCCUUGUGUCAAAGGUGGUCCUAUGGCAGAAGAUUGAUUGCUUCAAUCUAAAUGGAAUUAAAACAAAGUUGCAGAUAUUAAUGAAGCACAUGCUAAGGUGACCUUCAUCUGAGAUGUGACUAUUGACAUCACAUACGCUCAUUUUGAGUUGGUUCUCUAAAUUCCAGAGAUCUCUUGCAUUUAGGCCAGCAAGCUCCUGUCCAUAUUUAUCAAUAAACACAGGACGGAGUUGAUUUAACAUUCUGAGAAAAAUUGUCACAAUUUGAUUUCUUAUACAUGUAUUCUUUCUCACUAACUUACUAAUAUUAUGGAAGAGAAGCUGCUUC